rnacentral:lncRNA from 1 species
GGGGAUUUUUGAGUGUAAAAAAAAACAUACGAAAAUAGGGAGGAUACGAAAAACAGAGGGAAAAAGGGAGAGAUACAAAAUUUUUUGGAAUACAAAAAGGUGAUUUUUUUGGGGGGUUCUAUUUUCUUACUUUCGUUUUUUGUUUAUUUUCAUUUUAUUUUUUUUAUUUUUUGUUUAAAAUAUAAAGAAAAGGGGGAAGAGACUUACCUGGUCCCCGGAGUCGUCAGGCCGGUGUCUUCUCCGGUGAAAUCG